rnacentral:rRNA from 1 species
UACGUAGGGUGCAAGCGUUGUCCGGAAUUAUUGGGCGUAAAGAGCUCGUAGGCGGUUUGUCGCGUCUGCUGUGAAAGACCGGGGCUCAACUCCGGUUCUGCAGUGGGUACGGGCAGACUAGAGUGAUGUAGGGGAGACUGGAAUUCCUGGUGUAGCGGUGAAAUGCGCAGAUAUCAGGAGGAACACCGAUGGCGAAGGCAGGUCUCUGGGCAUUAACUGACGCUGAGGAGCGAAAGCAUGGGGAGCGAACAGG